rnacentral:rRNA from 1 species
CAGGCCUAACACAUGCAAGUCGAGCGGUAGCGGGAAGAGCUUGCUCUUUGCCGACGAGCGGCGGACGGGUGCGUAACACGUAGGAAUCUGCCCGGUAGUGGGGGAUAGCCCGGAGAAAUCCGGAUUAAUACCGCAUACGCACCAGCUCUUUAUGAGCGGUGGAAAGCAGGGGAUCAGCUUGCUGACCUUGCGCUAUCGGAUGAGCCUGCGUCGGAUUAGCUUGUUGGUGGGGUAAAGGCCUACCAAGGCGACGAUCCGUAGCUGGUCUGAGAGGAUGAUCAGCCACACUGGGACUGAGACACGGCCCAGACUCCUACGGGAGGCAGCAGUGGGGAAUAUUGCACAAUGGGCGCAAGCCUGAUGCAGCCAUGCCGCGUGUGUGAAGAAGGCCCUAGGGUUGUAAAGCACUUUCAGUGGGGAGGAAAAGUUGAAGGUUAAUACCCUUUGGCUGUGACGUUACCCACAGAAGAAGCACCGGCUAACUCCGUGCCAGCAGCCGCGGUAAUACGGAGGGUGCGAGCGUUAAUCGGAAUUACUGGGCGUAAAGCGUGCGUAGGCGGCCACCUAAGUUGGAUGUGAAAGCCCCGGGCUCAACUUGGGAACUGCAUCCAAAACUGGGUGGCUGGAGUACGGGAGAGGGGUGUGGAAU